rnacentral:rRNA from 1 species
AGCAGCCGCGGUAAUUCCAGCUCCAAUAGCGUAUAUUAAAGUUGUUGCAGUUAAAAAGCUCGUAGUUGAAUUUCGGGGUCAAUAAGUUGGUCAUGCCAAUGGUAUGCACUGGCUUUAUUGAUUCCUACCUCUUGACGAACUGUGAUGCCAUUAAUUUGGUGUUGCAAGGAAUCAGGACUGUUACCUUGAAAAAAUUAGAGUGUUUAAAGCAAGCUUACGCUUGAAUACAUUAGCAUGGAAUAAUGAAAUAGGACGUUUGAUCCUAUUUUGUUGGUUUCUAGGAUCGACGUAAUGAUUAAUAGGGAUAGUUGGGGGCAUUAGUAUUCAAUUGUCAGAGGUGAAAUUCUUGGAUUUAUUGAAGACUAACUACUGCGAAAGCAUUUGCCAAGGAUGUUUUCAUUAAUCAAGAACGAAAGUUAGGGGAUCGAAGACGAUCAGAUACCGUCGUAGUCUUAACCAUAAACUAUGCCGACUAGGGAUCGGAUGAUGUUAAUUUUUAAUGACUCU